ACGGGUGAGUAAUGCUUGGGAAUCUGGCUUAUGGAGGGGGAUAACUACGGGAAACUGUAGCUAAUACCGCGUAAAAUCUUCGGAUUAAAGGGUGGGACUUUCGAGCCACCUGCCAUAAGAUGAGCCCAAGUGGGAUUAGGUAGUUGGUUAGGUAAAGGCUGACCAAGCCGACGAUCUCUAGCUGGUCUGAGAGGAUGACCAGCCACACUGGAACUGAGACACGGUCCAGACUCCUACGGGAGGCAGCAGUGGGGAAUAUUGCACAAUGGGGGGAACCCUGAUGCAGCCAUGCCGCGUGAAUGAAGAAGGCCUUCGGGUUGUAAAGUUCUUUCGGUGACGAGGAAGGUUGAUAGGUUAAUAGCCUAUCAAAUUGACGUUAAUCACAGAAGAAGCACCGGCUAACUCCGUGCCAGCAGCCGCGGUAAUACGGGGGGUGCGAGCGUUAAUCGGAAUAACUGGGCGUAAAGGGCACGCAGGCGGUGACUUAAGUGAGAUGUGAAAGCCCCGAGCUUAACUUGGGAAUUGCAUUUCAUACUGGGUCGCUAGAGUACUUUAGGGAGGGGUAGAAUUCCACGUGUAGCGGUGAAAUGCGUAGAGAUGUGGAGGAAUACCGAAAGCGAAAGGCAGCCCCUUGGGAAUGUACUGACGCUC
rnacentral:rRNA from 1 species